GUCCUGCCGCGUGUGUGAAGAAUGGCCUUCGGGUUGUAAAGCACUUUCAGCGAGGAAGAACGCCUUGGGAUUAAUACUCCCGAGGAAAGACAUCACUCGCAGAAGAAGCACCGGCUAACUCCGUGCCAGCAGCCGCGGUAAUACGGAGGGUGCAAGCGUUAAUCGGAAUUACUGGGCGUAAAGCGCGCGUAGGUGGCUAAGUCAGCCAGGUGUGAAAGCCCCGGGCUCAACCUGGGAACGGCAUCUGGAACUGCUUGGCUAGAGUGCAGGAGAGGAAGGUAGAAUUCCCGGUGUAGCGGUGAAAUGCGUAGAGAUCGGGAGGAAUACCAGUGGCGAAGGCGGCCUUCUGGACUGACACUGACACUGAGGUGCGAAAGCGUGGGUAGCAAACAGGAUUAGAUACCCUGGUAGUCCACGCCGUAAACGAUGUCAACUAGCCGUUGGGUCCCUUGAGGACUUAGUGGCGCAGCUAACGCAAUAAGUUGACCGCCUGGGGAGUACGGCCGCAAGGUUAAAACUCAAAUGAAUUGACGGGG
rnacentral:rRNA from 1 species